UACAGAGGUCCCAAGCGUUGUUCGGAUUCACUGGGCGUAAAGGGUGCGUAGGUGGCCAGGUAAGUUCGGUGUGAAAGCUCGGAGCUUAACUCCGAAAAUGUCAUUGAAUACUAUCUGGCUUGAGGGUCGGAGGGGAGACUGGAAUUCAUGGUGUAGCAGUGAAAUGCGUAGAGAUCAUGAGGAAGACCAGUGGCGAAGGCGGGUCUCUGGACAGUUCCUGACACUGAGACACGAAGGCCAGGGGGAGCAAACGGG
rnacentral:rRNA from 1 species